GCCGAAGUGGCGGAACUGGCAGACGCGCUACGUUCAGGGCGUAGUGGGGGUGACCCCGUGGGAGUUCAAAUCUCCCCUUCGGCA
rnacentral:tRNA from 1 species